AGGUACCAGAUUUUGGGCUCUUAAGCAUUCUUGCAUUUUUCGGUGAUAUAAUUUGAUACCAUUUCGGGGCAGAAAUCUGCUGUCUAGAGGUUGACCUGUUUUACCAAUAUAUAUUGAAAUUGUAUAUGUAUUAGGGCCUUAUGGGACCCCUAUACCUCCUGGGCCCCCCUCUGUAGUUACUCCCCUGGCAAUGGGCGACCCUUUCCCAUUUUGUUUAAUGGUAAAAUAUGCGAAACAAUGAAAAUUUGAAAAAGGCAUAUUUUCACAUAUAUUCAUUUAUUUUUUAGACUUUUUAUGCUGCACAUAUUGUGCUAUCUUUGGGCAACUUUUGAAGUGCCUCUUGUCUUCAUCCCAGGGAUGGUUUUAGGUUACGUCAGAGAGAGUAAUGUGCAGGAGAAGCCUAUCUAGGAUCAUGUGAAUAAAAAGUAUGUAAGAAGCACAUAAAAACAGAUACUGGGAAAAAAAAGACAUGGGAAAUAAAAGGGAAAGUAAAGCAAAGACCUUGGAAAUAUAAAGAGCAGGGCUGGAACUAGGGGUAGGCAGAGUAGGGACAUGCCUAUGGCGCAAAGCUGGGGCGCUAGACACGCACCUUCUUUGCCUCUGGUCCCCUCUCCGCCCUGGCCUGCGUGUCUUUUUUCAUUUUGCGCAUCCUUUUUGCCUGACCGUGAUAAAGAGGUUAGUGGCACACUUUUAUACAUCAAUAAGGGGGGCCUUGGCCGUGCUGCACCUCCCAGAUUAGCCAGGCCCCCCUUGAGUCAUCGAAAGCCACCAAAUGGAGCUGAAAACUGCAGAAGGAAGAGGAGAAUGAAGAAAACCUUUAAAGGCAAUAACAAGGUUGACAGAUGCCAGCCCUGAUCCAAAGGAAUUGGAUAGACAUUGGCCAUGCCCGCCCUGCUCCAGCACCACACCUGUUCCACCCUAGCCUCAUCCGCUGCCAUGGUUCUUGCUCCAAUGUUUCAGACAGUGGACGGUGGGAAGUUAUUGGCUGACUUUGGAAGUUCUGCAGGAGUCUUUGGCUUUAUGGUGACAUAGUGGGAAUUCUGCGCAUACCAAGCCAGUCCAUCGACACUGACAGCAGAAAAGAAUCAGUGGGUCAACUUUGUCCUCAAUUAAAUAUUAAAUUGACCUUUCUAUAAAGAAAUGUUUCCUUAUGUGUCCCUUCUUCAUGUCCUGUUCCAUAGUUCUAGCCAACUUCUGCUUCCUCCUGUCUCUGUUAAUUCCCUUAACGUUGAUAUCAUAUCAUCUCUCUCCCUUCUCUCUUCUAUAAAGUACAAGGUCUCAAACCUUUCCUGGCAUUCUUUGUUACUGAGACCAUGACAUAUCUUAGCUCCUCUUCUCUUAAAGGGGUUGUUCACUAUUGAAUUAACUGUAUGAUGUAGAGCAGUGA